CCUACGGGGCGCUGCAGUGGGGAAUAUUGCACAAUGGGGGAAACCCUGAUGCAGCGACGCCGCGUGAGUGAAGAAGUAAUUCGUUAUGUAAAGCUCUAUCAGCAGGGAAGAAAAUGACGGUACCUGAGUAAGAAGCCCCGGCUAACUACGUGCCAGCAGCCGCGGUAAUACGUAGGGGGCAAGCGUUAGCCGGAUUUACUGGGUGGAAAGGGAGCGUAGACGGCAGUGCAAGUCUGGAGUGAAAGGCGGGGGCUCAACCCCCGGACUGCUCUGGAAACUGUACGGCUGGAGUGCAGGAGAGGUAAGUGGAAUUCCUAGUGUAGCGGUGAAAUGCGUAGAUAUUAGGAGGAACACCAGUGGCGAAGGCGGCUUACUGGACUGUAACUGACGUUGAGGCUCGAAAGCGUGGGGAGCAAACAGGAUUAGAUACCCCAGUAGUC
rnacentral:rRNA from 1 species